rnacentral:rRNA from 1 species
AGUGAACGCUGGCGGUAGGCCUAACACAUGCAAGUCGAACGGCAGCACAGUAAGAGCUUGCUCUUACGGGUGGCGAGUGGCGGACGGGUGAGGAAUACAUCGGAAUCUACUUUUUCGUGGGGGAUAACGUAGGGAAACUUACGCUAAUACCGCAUACGACCUACGGGUGAAAGCAGGGGAUCUUCGGACCUUGCGCGAUUGAAUGAGCCGAGGUCGGAUUAGCUAGUUGGCGGGGUAAAGGCCCACGAAGGCGACGAUCGGUAGCUGGUCUGAGAGGGUGGUCAGCCACACUGGAACUGAGACAGGGUCCAGACUCCUGCGGGGGGCAGCGGUGGGGAAUAUUGGGCAAUGGGCGCGAGCCUGAUCCAGCCAUACGGCGUGGGUGAAGAAGGCCUUCGGGUUGUAGAGCCCUUUUGUUGGGAGGGAAAAGCAGCAGGUUAAUCCCCCGCUGUUCUGACGGUACCCGAAGAAUAAGCACCGGCUAACUUCGUG